rnacentral:misc_RNA from 1 species
GUAGGUGAACCUGCGGAAGGAUCAUUAACACGUAUCCACGUAUCAAAACCCCUCUGUGCAAAACAUCUUUGUAAAACAGGCUUUGAUUGGAGUUGUGCUCGCUCGAUCUUAAUGAUGGGAGUUUCCCCCCCCUCGCAAGAGGGGGAAGAACCUCGGGAUCUAUGAGCGGGUUCAGCGUUCGACAGUCGGCCGCCAUUUUCCCAUCGUUAGCCUUUUUUUAUUUUAAACCCCUUUGUACUUUUUAUGUACU